CAGUCGAACGGGGUUAUGAAGUGUGAGGAGUCAGCUUGCUGGUGACGAACACUUUAUAACUUAGUGGCGGACGGGUGAGUAACGCGUGGGUAACCUGCCAUAUACAGGGGGAUAACACUUAGAAAUAGGUGCUAAUACCGCAUAAGCGCACGGAGCUGCAUGGCUCAGUGUGAAAAACUCUGGUGGUAUAUGAUGGACCCGCGUCUGAUUAGCUUGUUGGCGGGGUAACGGCCCACCAAGGCGACGAUCAGUAGCCGGCCUGAGAGGGUGGACGGCCACAUUGGGACUGAGACACGGCCCAAACUCCUACGGGAGGCAGCAGUGGGGAAUAUUGGACAAUGGGGGGAACCCUGAUCCAGCGACGCCGCGUGAGUGAAGAAGUAUUUCGGUAUGUAAAGCUCUAUCAGCAGGGAAGAAAGAAAUGACGGUACCUGACCAAGAAGCCCCGGCUAACUACGUGCCAGCAGCCGCGGUAAUACGUAGGGGGCAAGCGUUAUCCGGAUUUACUGGGUGUAAAGGGAGCGUAGACGGUAAUGCAAGUCUGGAGUGAAAUGCAGGGGCUCAACCCCUGAACUGCUUUGGAAACUGUAUGACUGGAGUGCAGGAGAGGUAAGUGGAAUUCCUAGUGUAGCGGUGAAAUGCGUAGAUAUUAGGAGGAACACCAGUGGCGAAGGCGGCUUACUGGACUGUAACUGACGUUGAGGCUCGAAAGCGUGGGGAGCAAACAGGAUUAGAUACCCUGGUAGUCCACGCCG
rnacentral:rRNA from 1 species